rnacentral:rRNA from 1 species
GAUGAACGCUGGCGGCGUGCCUAAUACAUGCAAGUCGAGCGAACAGAUGAGGAGCUUGCUCCUCUGACGUUAGCGGCGGACGGGUGAGUAACACGUGGAUAACCUACCUAUAAGACUGGGAUAACUUCGGGAAACCGGAGCUAAUACCGGAUAAUAUAUUGAACCGCAUGGUUCAAUAGUGAAAGACGGUUUUGCUGUCACUUAUAGAUGGAUCCGCGCCGCAUUAGCUAGUUGGUAAGGUAACGGCUUACCAAGGCAACGAUGCGUAGCCGACCUGAGAGGGUGAUCGGCCAAACUGGAACUGAGACACGGUCCAGACUCCUACGGGAGGCAGCAGUAGGGAAUCUUCCGCAAUGGGCGAAAGCCUGACGGAGCAACGCCGCGUGAGUGAUGAAGGUCUUCGGAUCGUAAAACUCUGUUAUUAGGGAAGAACAAAUGUGUAAGUAACUAUGCACGUCUUGACGGUACCUAAUCAGAAAGCCACGGCUAACUACGUG